rnacentral:sRNA from 1 species
GCCGGGCACGGUGGUGCAUGCCUGUAAUCCCAGCGCUUUGGGAGGCCGAGGUGGGUGGAUCACUUGAGGCCAGGAGUUCGAGACCAGCCUGGGCAACAUGGCAAAACUCUGUCUCUACUAAAACUGCAAAAAUUAGUCGGGCAUGGUGGCACAUGCCUGUAAUCCCAGCUACUCGGGAGUCUGAGGCAUGAGAAGCACUUGAACCUGGGAGGUGGAGGUUGCAGUGAGCCGAGAUGGCGCCACUGCACUCCAGCCUGGGCAACAGAGUGAGACUCCAUCUCA